AUGRACGAAAGUCUGACSGAGCAACGCCGCGUGAGUGAUGAMGGUUUUCGGAUCGUAAAGCUCUGUUGUUAGGGAAGAACAAGUGCCGUUCAAAUAGGGCGGCACCUUGACGGUACCUAACCCAGAAAGCCACGGCUAACUACGUGCCAGCAGCCGCGGUAAUACGUAGGUGGCAAGCGUUGUCCGGAAUUAUUGGGCGUAAAGGGCUCGCAGGCGGUUUCUUAAGUCUGAUGUGAAAGCCCCCGGCUCAACCGGGGAGGGUCAUUGGAAACUGGGRAACUUGAGUGCAGAAGAGGAGAGUGGAAUUCCACGUGUAGCGGUGAAAUGCGUAGAGAUGUGGAGGAACACCAGUGGCGAAGGCGACUCUCUGGUCUGUAACUGACGCUGAGGAGCGAAAGCGUGGGGAGCGAACAGGAUUAGAUACCCUGGUAGUCCACGCCGUAAACGAUGAGUGCUAAGUGUUAGGGGGUUUCCGCCCCUUAGUGCUGCAGCUAACGCAUUAAGCACUCCGCCUGGGGAGUACGGUCGCAAGACUGAAACUCAAAGGAAUUGACGGGGGCCCGCACAAGCGGUGGAGCAUGUGGUUUAAUUCGAAGCAACGCGAAGAACCUUACCAGGUCUUGACAUCCUCUGACAAUCCUAGAGAUAGGACGUCCCCUUUCGGGGGCAGAGUGACAGGUGGUGCAUGGUUGUCGUCAGCUCGUGUCGUGAGAUUGUUGGGUUWAGUUCCCGCAACGAGCGCAMCCYUUGAUCUUAGUUGCCAGCAUUUCAGUUGGGCACUYUAMGGUGACYKGCYGKUGACAAACCGGAGGAAGGUKGGG
rnacentral:rRNA from 2 species